ensembl:lncRNA
UUGAAAUAAAAGCAGUCUAGAUGAUCCUUUGCUGGAGCUGGCUGGACACAGCAGAAGAACUGUUAGAAAAAUUGCUUUUCUGAAUCCUUCUAGAGGAAUCUAGAAGUGAUGGAGACACCAACGUGGUCAAAGCAUGUGCUGCAUUUUCACCAGUGUAAAUCAGAAAAACACCACCCAUGGUUUGAGCUGCAUAGAUUUACACCAGACCCAGCUGAUGAAGCCAUGGCUGAUUGUCUCCCUUCACAAUUGUCUACUCUGCACCUGGGGUUAUUUGGUGGAGCUAUGCUGGCUUCAGAAAAGAUGGUCUUCUUUGACUCUGUUGACUUCAAAAGAGGUGAAGCACUGGGACCUGGAGGUAUUGAGUUGCCCAGGGUCACGUGGGUUGUGGCAAAGGUGAGAGCUGAACCUGUGGUCCUAUGUGCUGAUCAAGGAGAGCUCCAAAAUGGAGUUUUAUAAAUAUGGAGAGGCUUCAAUUUAACAUAAAAACUAAUAAAAUGAAAAGAAAAGAGCUUGGGAAUGAGGGAGGAGGGAGAAGGAUGUGUACGACUGUGCCUCUCACAGUCAGGCUGUUCAAUGACUAAUAACAACUGGCCUUCACUGGAAUGCUCCAGGGAAUGUCUUAUUCCAUCCCAAGCCACUUAAAGAGCUAGUUAAUCUUAGAAAACCCUGAGCCUAUAAUCUAAUGCCCAAAUAACAACAUUUGGCAUUAAGUCACUGUGAGGGGAACACAUAUGUAUAUGCGUGUAUAUUUACAAAUAUAUACAUAUAUAGUGUUUUACUUGUUUAACCUACAUCUAUAUGUAUAUUUAAUAACUCAUGCACACACACACCCUGCCCUGUCUUAAAAUAAUAUGACUGAGUUAGGAGUGGGGGCCUACCAUUGCAGCCUGGAAACACAGCUGAUUUAGAAGGUGUCAUUAACAUUUUAAACAAAAAAAAUGUUUCAUUUAGAUUAAUAUUUUGAAAAGCUGUGCUCAAGUAGAAAGAGUCAAAGAAAAGCACUUAAACAUUGGCAGAAUGUCCUAAUUUUACCAUAUGCAGAAUAAAAUACUGUUUUCUUUUGAUUUCAUGCCUUUUUUCCCCCCCAAAAUGAAAUAACUUUUCUACAUAAACUUUAGAAAAGAAUAGAGGUUGAUAUCAAAUUUAAAGUAUUUGAAAGUUGGCUAAUUUUCUCUUUUAGUCUGCGGAAAGAAAAAAGACAAAAGAGUUUGCAUGCAAAAAGUUAUAAAAGAGGUGCACAAAAAAGGAAAAUUUGAUUCCCCUAGAUAAGAAAUAUAUUUCCUUUUGCCCCCAUGAUUCAGCUCCUUGGCAUAAAUGCAUUCUGACAGAUAUAAUACAUUUUCGAUCUCACAAAUCACGUUAUUCAAAGCACAGAAGGACCUGCAGCAGAGGUGAGCAGAGUAAGGAUGUGGAGAUCUUAUUACAGCCUAUGGGAGGAGAGUUUUGUUUAAGGACCUUGCAGGUAUGCUGGUUUGCAUCAGUUUGGUAGAAGUUGUUGGUUAUUGCAUGCUUCCCACUAUGGAGGGACCCUGAAGAAGCUGAAACUCUUCCACUGAACAAUGUGGUGUUGUCCUGAGAAAGGACACUGGAAAAUGGCCUAAGAUUGAGGAACCCAAAUUGGCUACCACUUGUCAACAUAACCAUUCAGUCUUCCUGUGGGGGAAAAUGUGGCCAAUAGAACCUUCUCACAGAAGUGUUACAGAGAGAAAGACAAACAUUUUCAGUGCCUUCAGGUGCGGGAGUGAUGGGCACUGCAGGAAUGCCCGUUUGGAAAUGAAUCUUUCUGUCUGGGGGCAAAACUGGGAUAAUGCACAAAAAAAGUUGUCCUGAGGGUGAUGCAUGGAGAAGAAAGAACAAAAUCCAGAACUGUUGAAUACUGAGAGCUCUGUCCAGCCUCUGCACAACUUACUUUAGGCCUUAUGGGAAGAGAAAUGAGGGAGUGCAUAUUUGCAUUUUCUUUUGCAGAGUGGAUAUGUGCAGAACAGCAGCUUUAAUCCUGUAACUUCCAAAGUGUUGAAUGCUUGACUUGGAGAUCUGAGUUACAGUUGUUUGAUGUAUUUAUUACUUUUUUUUUUUUUUGCAUCUCCUUACACAAACACAUGAGAUAGGCAGCAUAUAUUUACAUAGUGGAUUCAUGAAGUUUUGCUAAAUUACUGUGAAAGUAACACUUUUCAGAUCCCGUUCACUCAUUCUGGGCCCACAAAGUGAACAUCCUGCUUUGCACUUCUGCUGCUGCAGUUACAGGUUUCUCUUCAUUUUUCUCUUCCUGCAGCUUUGGCAGCUCUUUCCUGUUUUUAUAUAUUUCCAUCUUUCUCUUGAACUGCCAUUUAAAUGACCUUUCCCAUUCACCCUUAAAAUUCCACCCAACCGAAAAGGAGUCCUGCCUCCAGGCCUGUGACUGUGGCCUCUGUAUCCUUGGACAAUGGGACGGGAAGGAAAAAAAAGGGACAUUCCUGCAGGUCCUCGGUGUGUGGAUAACAAACAGGGCACAGGAGGCGAGCAUGUAAAUCAGAAAUCACUCCAUUAGUUUGUUAAGCAUUUUGGAGUGACACCACACACAUUAGGAGCUGGUGGCCACAAUGGAGGGAUCCCAGCCAUUUGAUAUUCAUGAGAUGGAAGAAGGUUUAAGAAGAGAAAAAGGAAGGGGGAGAGAGGGAUGUGGGCUUUCUAAUGUAAACACCAUUAUCAUUUGAAAAUCAAUUAGCUCCUUGCACUGAGGGAAUGAGGAGACUUAAGGCCCUUUCUGAACUGCUUUUGUGAGCCUGGGUUAUUUACUUUAAUUAAGAGGAGACAGAGUGGAUUAUUGUCUCAAACCAAAGAGUUGGGAAGAGUCAGAAAAUUACACUCUACCUCACUGCACAACAAAGCCGGGGUAAGAGACAGGCUCCAAACCCAGCAAAGUCAGAAAGAAAUUAGCCUUUAAUCUGGAUUUGUCCUACAUAAGGCACAAUCAAAAAGAAGCGAGGUUCGCAGCCUUCUUGCUAAGCACGGAUCUCGAUAUUGCAGUUGCUGUCACUGCCAGUGCUCCUGUUGAACUUUAACAUUUGGUCUGGAAGGGGCUUUUGCCCCUGGAAGGGUUAGAGUUUGAGAACAAACUCUAUUUUGUCCUAAAAUUUGACAGAAUGAAGUGUCAGGUGUUGGGCUGCAGUUCCUCCUGCCUGCUCCAACCCACCGAUGUAGAAAUAUUUUGCUUUAGAAACAAAUAUAUUAAAUUGUUGAUGCAAAGAUGUUUCCUGGAUGACGAUGCUUAUAUUUUUUUGGCUCUUAUUUAAUUCAAACAGCUCGGAUUAAAAGAAAAGGAGGAAAAAAAAAAAAAAGGUGAAGAAGGAGGAAAAAAAGAAAAGGAAUUUGGCAAGUGACUAAUCCACAAUAUUGUCUAAUUUGGCAUAUGGAGAAACACCCCCCCGAGGUAUCUAAUACUGAGAUGUUUCAGCACUGCUUUGCAUUGCCCACUCUUACUCUGCAUACUCUAAAUAUGUAUUAAGUCAGUCGAGCAUGGCAGCUGCUGAAGGAGUUGCCACAGCUUACUGGGUAAAUAAUGAUCGCUUUAUAAAUCACCUAAAUGCGUAUCUACCCCAAAGACCAUGGCAGUGGCUUAUGGGAAUUCUGAUUUGCAUUUUUAAAAUUUCCUUGGAUAUAUUUGCAAUUGCUGUGCCUCCCGCUGAUUGCUGUAUGCUCUAGUUUUAAGUUCAGGGCCCAGUUCUUUCAGUUAUGAAUGGAUGAAUCUGGAGUGUCAUCACUGAAAUGAGCAACACAAAGUCAAACUGAGGAAGCAGUCCACUUGACAAGAUUCCACAAGGAAUACCCUGCGAACACAAUUUGGCUCUGACAUCUCUUGUUGGUUUUGCAUUUGGAAUGACUUCAUAAAUAAAUCCUUCAGAGCUGAGAAGCUCCAUUUUUAGGAUGAGCUGCUGUCCCGAUGUAAGAUUGAGGGAAGGUAGAGCCAGACCACAGCUAAAAGAUCCCAGUCAGGCCCUGCACCCCUCUGGAAAAUAUCUUCCCCAUAUCAGUCUUUGGGGUCCAGAUAUACCCUUUUGUUGGCCCAUGGAAGAAAAAAAUACUGUUUUUUCCUCUUCUUGACAUACAUCCAAGCUCACUGACUCUUAGCCCUUCACAGAACUGAGACCAUCCCCUGUGCUUUAUCAGCAGAGACAUCUUGGCCUGCAGUGAACUUCAAAACACAUGACUCUAGAAGCAAAUGGAUGAGAAGGCUUUUCAGAGGGCCCUUGGGAAUGAAACACUCAUUACUUCAGGCAGCAAGAAUAAAAUAUGUUUUCGUAUAUGACUGGUCAGAGCUCUCCCAGGCAUUCAGGGUUCUUUUGUCUGCCUUUCUGUUGCAGUUGGUUCCCUUCUUUCUCACUUGGCCCUGUGAUUAAGCCAGAUCCUUUUCCUGUGAUAGUUAUUCCCUCUCUUCUUGUGUGUCCACCUACAUGCUAUAUUGUUUUCUAGAAAUACCUACCCUGCCUCUGGAGCUCAGAAAAGCACAAAUGUUUCCCAGUUAAGUUAAUGCUUUUUGCGUUUUGGCCUCUCUCUUGAGUUUUUACCUUUUCCAAGCUGGGUCGCUAUCUUAGUUUCAUUGGGAGAGAACUGUUUUCUUCAGAGUGCUUGGUAUGAUGCUAUGUUUUGGUUCUAGGAGAAAAGCAAUGUUGAUAACAGACCAAUGUUUAUAGUUGCUGCUAAGCAGCAUUGUACAGAGACAAGGCCACUCACUUUGAAGGGCCCAGGAAGCUGAGAGGGAACAGAAUUAGGACAGUUGACUUAAACUGGCCAAAGGGAUAUUGCAUACCAUAUGACAUCAUGCAGAUGGAGUUUUGAAGGGGGUGGGAGUUCAUGUCUCUCCUGCUGCUUGUAGGGCUAGCUGGGCAUUCACUGGGGAGUGGUCCUUGUGCAUCACUUGUUAGACACAUUCGUGUAUCUAUCUAUCUAUCUAUAUAUAUAUGUAUACCUGUGGAGGUGUAAUCACAGAAUGUUGGGCAGAAGUUCAGUUGUUGCUCUCUUUUCUUCUGGUAGGGUAUAGCUUUUAAUACAAAACCACAGUGGGUUCAGAUAGUGCACUAAUUCCGUUCAUAGCUCCAUACAUGUGGGAUUAAAGUGAGUUCUUUAUAUAUAUAUUAUCUGGUUAUCAUCAUAUUAUUUUGUGAUCUUGAAUAUUAAUUGUAUUAGAAAUGGUGCACUGUUGUCUUAUUCCCCUGGAAUAAACCUAAUCCUCAACUGGAAUGUGAGUUCAACAGACCCACAGGGCUGGGCUGCUGGCUGCAGAUAGCUUCUGUGUGUGUAUAGAUGACUACACACAACUGUGCCACCUAUAUUUGCAUUCCUACAGCUGUUCAUUAUUUGUAUCUAUUAUACAGCAGAGAGAGCACAAAUGUAUGCAAUUGAGACACAAUAAUGAAGAAAUAUGAAAAGACCAAUCCAUCAGUUCAAGUGUGUUUGGGUUUAAGCGAAGGGGACACACUGAUAAAUUCACUGAUUUAUUCUCACUAACUCUCGUUGUAUUCUGAGGCAAGGCUUGGGCCACUGAAGCUGCUGCAGCUGACAGUGAUUUAUAUCAGCUGCAAGAUCUGCCCUGGAGCUUUUAAGUGUAUGUCAAGGACCUUCAGCACUUUAUGAAUCUUUCUGGAUGGAGUUUUCCAAAUGAAAAUCUGAAGGAAAGGCAAAUCCAUUAAGAAAAAAGCACACAUGCUCGACAGUUUUGUGUUUACAGUUUCCUAUCUUGUUUGUUGAGAUCCUGUUCAGUUUUGACCAGCCAGCUGUUCAGAGUCAUGGCCUACAGCCUUGAAUAAUAACCCUGGUCUCAUUCCAGAAAAAACAAAAAAGUAUCUAAACACUCAUUGGGUUAAAUUGAGUCCGGUGGGGACAUGUCAGGUUUGUGUGUUGAUUGCCUGUUUUUACUCCUACAGUUAAGGUGCAGAGAUGUCUCAAUGUCUUUUACCUUUGUGGAGCAACAUCUUCCUUCUUACGUUGGUGUUGUGACAUAGCGGAGUGCUAGACAGCCCAACUGAAGAUCCAAAAUGACUCGACCGGAACCUUUUUGGGUUGUGUUGCUAUCUCUUUGUUAUGGGUUAUAACAUACAGAUAUGCGAAAUAUGGCACCCUUAGGGAUGCAACCCAGGCUGAAGGUAAAAGAGGUGGGGGUGGAAACACCAGUGAUGACGCAGGGGGUACCCAGGGGCUGGGAUCGCAUUCCUGGCUGUGCUGGUGGCCUGGGGUAAUUUCCUUCUCUUCUGUUUUCCAUCUAUCUUUUGUGAAGAUAAUUAUAAUCUCACUAUAGCAGAGGGUAGAGGCUUUUUGAGGACCCAUAAAGACAGCUGACCCCAUUUGCUAGGAUAAGUAGGUGAAAGAAAUGGGAAUGAGCCUGGGGGAAGGUAGGAACUAAAAGAGGUGGGGGAGAGGGGCUGGUUCCCAGAUCACAGAUUUAGAAGGUUUCCAGCUCAGGCGGGUGAAGGAGGGCUCAGACACGAGCUACUUGGCUGAGGGAUCCAUCUGCCUAAUUUGCAGGAGGGCAGAACAGUUUUCUUUUAGGUGGAGUUGUCCCAGACCCUAAUUCUUAUGAGAAAAUAAAGCUAAUUUUGAGGCUUAAGCUUAAGCUACUCUGGCCAAUGGGGGGAGGGAGGUGGAGGGGGGGGAGAGGUGGAUGCCAGAGGGAGGGCAUC